CGGGACACGUGGUAUCCUGUCUGAAUAUGGGGGGACCAUCCUCCAAGGCUAAAUACUCCUGACUGACCGAUAGUGAACCAGUACCGUGAGGGAAAGGCGAAAAGAACCCCGGCGAGGGGAGUGAAAAAGAACCUGAAACCGUGUACGUACAAGCAGUGGGAGCACGCUUAGGCGUGUGACUGCGUACCUUUUGUAUAAUGGGUCAGCGACUUAUAUUCUGUAGCAAGGUUAACCGAAUAGGGGAGCCGAAGGGAAACCGAGUCUUAACUGGGCGUUAAGUUGCAGGGUAUAGACCCGAAACCCGGUGAUCUAGCCAUGGGCAGGUUGAAGGUUGGGUAACACUAACUGGAGGACCGAACCGACUAAUGUUGAAAAAUUAGCGGAUGACUUGUGGCUGGGGGUGAAAGGCCAAUCAAACCGGGAGAUAGCUGGUUCUCCCCGAAAGCUAUUUAGGUAGCGCCUCGUGAAUUCAUCUCCGGGGGUAGAGCACUGUUUCGGCAAGGGGGUCAUCCCGACUUACCAACCCGAUGCAAACUGCGAAUACCGGAGAAUGUUAUCACGGGAGACACACGGCGGGUGCUAACGUCCGUCGUGAAGAGGGAAACAACCCAGACCGCCAGCUAAGGUCCCAAAGUCAUGGUUAAGUGGGAAACGAUGUGGGAAGGCCCAGACAGCCAGGAUGUUGGCUUAGAAGCAGCCAUCAUUUAAAGAAAGCGUAAUAGCUCACUGGUCGAGUCGGCCUGCGCGGAAGAUGUAACGGGGCUAAACCAUGCACCGAAGCUGCGGCAGCGACGCUGAUGCGUUGUUGGGUAGGGGAGCGUUCUGUAAGCCUGUGAAGGUGUGCUGUGAGGCAUGCUGGAGGUAUCAGAAGUGCGAAUGCUGACAUAAGUAACGAUAAAGCGGGUGAAAAGCCCGCUCGCCGGAAGACCAAGGGUUCCUGUCCAACGUUAAUCGGGGCAGGGUGAGUCGACCCCUAAGGCGAGGCCGAAAGGCGUAGUCGAUGGGAAACAGGUUAAUAUUCCUGUACUUGGUGUUACUGCGAAGG
rnacentral:rRNA from 1 species